UACGAAGGGGGCUAGCGUUGCUCGGAAUCACUGGGCGUAAAGCGCACGUAGGCGGAUCGCUAAGUCAGGGGUGAAAUCCUGGAGCUCAACUCCAGAACUGCCUUUGAUACUGGCAAUCUCGAGUCCGGGAGAGGUGAGUGGAACUGCGAGUGUAGAGGUGAAAUUCGUAGAUAUUCGCAAGAACACCCGUGGCUAAGGCGGCUCUCUAGUACGGUACUGACGCUGAGACGCGAAAGCGUGGGGAGCGAACAGG
rnacentral:rRNA from 1 species